AGAACCCUACGGGAGGCAGCAGUGGGGGAUAUUGCACAAUGGGGGGAACCCUGAUGCAGCGACGCCGCGUGGGCGAUGGAGUGCUUCGGCAUGUAAAGCCCUAUCAGCAGGGAAGAAAAUGACGGUACCUGACUAAGAAGCCCCGGCUAAAUACGUGCCAGCAGCCGCGGUAAUACGUAUGGGGCAAGCGUUAUCCGGAUUUACUGGGUGUCAAGGGAGCGUAGGCGGCCUGGCAAGCCUGAUGUGCAAUACCGGGGCCCAACCCCUGGGCUGCAUUGGGAACUGCCAGGCUGG
rnacentral:rRNA from 1 species